CUGCUCUAGCUCCGACACUGCCGGUGCCUUCCGGAGCCUGUGCUGCACAUAGCUGCAUGCUUGUCCCUGGGCCCAUUUCCUGUUUCUAUUCUAGUCUCUGGUGGCUCAGCUACACUUCCUGCCUGUGUGUGUGUCUCACAGAUUCUUCUUUCUGGACCCUCUUGUUUUCUUUAGAAUAACCUCAGCCUGAGAAACAGCUGAACUUUAAUAUGAUGGCUCCUGAGUUGGUCAUACCUAAGAGGACUGAUGAGAAGUGACCCCUUUCCCCAGUGAAGCUCACCACAUGAUGACUGUGACUUGUUUUUCAGUUUGUCCCCAGCCUGCUAGAGGAAACUAUAGACCAGAAAUUUGGAAAGGAAUAAAUGGAGCCCUCUUCCCCUCACCGUUAGGCAUGCUGGGCUGUUAGGACCUCUGUUGCUUGUUCUUCUGCAGCCGUUGCUUACACACAAGUUUCCUGCCUCGGAGGAAGACAAGUAGUGUACUCCUAGUGCAAACCUCCCUAAAGUACAGAGUUAAAAUGAAGGUUAGGCAGGUAGAGCAUGCUGUCUUCUGAAUAGCCUGUAGAGCACACAGGGAUGGAAAGCACUCCUGCUUACGUGAACAGUUCAAGUCUUUUUGUUUCUGAGACAUUAUCUCUAUGUAGCCUUGGCUGACCAGGAACUCCUUAUGUAGAAAGGUUGGCCUGAAAUUCAAAUAGAUCCAUCCAGCUGCCUUGGCCUGGUACUGCUAAUAUUGUGGGGACUAAAGGCCUGUACCACCACACUAGUCCAGGUCUUAUGCACCUCCCCAUACACAUACACAAACUCCUCACAUAUACAUAACAACACCCCACAUUAGAAAUGGAGAGAGUGUGUAGGGAGGUGGUAAAAAGGGAAGAAAUGAAGGAGGCCAUCUAGACAGACAUAUUUAAAGGACUUCCCUCCUCCUCCCAAGUAAAACAUUUGUUUAGGAGUGUAUGCUUUGUGAUUUAGUCUGUAUUUCCUACAUAGCUACUCGGCUGGGUCACCUGAUGCUACUGAAGCCGAUUGUUGAGGGAUGAACCCUGUGUCUGGGUCUGGCUGUAGAGAAAGAAGAGUUGAGUAAUGAUUGAUGACUUUGAGUUCCUUAGGAAAGGUUGAAGGGUGAGACCCACUUGUACACAGAAACAGUCAGUGUGACCCAGAAGUGCUAUCAGACUGGCCCUGGGGUCCUGUCUCCCUCCAGAUCUAUGACCCAGAAAUCAUUUAGGUAGAAUCAGAAAGCAGCAGUGGCAGCCAGGCAAAAUGACACACACCUUCAAUGCCAGGGCUUGGGAGGCAGGCAGGUCUCCGAUUUGAGAUUAUUAGCCUGUUCCUCAGAGUGAGUUCCAGGACAGCCAGGGCUAUUCAGAGAAAGCCUGUCUCAAAAUCAACAACAAUAACAACAUAAAGCAGCAGUUGCUACCACCAGAACUAGUUAAGUAGAGCCUGGAACCAAAAUGCUCCUGCAGAAACAGACAGAGGAAACAGAAACAUGAGCUAGGAACUUGAACUGUGUGUGGAGCUUAUCUGCAGUGAUUUUUUUUUUUUUGAAGACGUAGUUUUAGCUUUAUAACAAACAGUUGUGGGGCAUCUCCCCUCCCAUUUCCCACCCCGCGCCCUCCCCCCCACACACACAAAAGGGGGCGUUGGGGAGAAAGAGAAAAUCCAGAAAGAAAUGGGGGAUGAGCGGGUGAGGGUCAUGGCAUUUCCUCUGGAAGGAUCAAAUCUUUCCAGCCAGAGUCUUAGCAAAUCCCUGAGUCGGCCUGUGGGGUGAAUCUGUUGCCUUGUGUUGACUUACAUACACUCAUUUCUUCCUUUUAUAAUGUUCAGUAGAAAAUGCCAGCCAAACCCAGAACUCCAACCCCCAAGUACGUAAUCACCAAGUUAUCUCUGUUUGUUAGGGGUGGGGUGGGGUGGUUGGACCUUUGGAAAGAAGCCAAGUCUACCUAGAAAUACUAUCUUUGUAGAGAAACCACUAGGACAUCCAUUAGUUAAGUUGGAAAUCUCUCAAACUUAGUCCACAGGGCAAGACCGACCCCUUGUGUGGCGUUGUCUUCCCAUAUCUAGUAAAACACUUGGUGUUCUGCCUGUAAGCUGUGUUGAGCCCAAACAUACUCUGGUGCCAUUUGAAGGGAGCCAGUACUUGAUCCAUUGGCUCCUGUGUCCUAAACCCGUUCCCUCUUCCCCCAUGCACCAGCAUAGAACUGACAAGUAUUGUGACAUAAUCUUUGAUUACCAUGAUCACCCUCCAAGCUGGGAGCCUCCUUCCCCGUUUAACACUUACCAAAGGAGGAUAAGAAGCCAUGCCUUCACGGGUGGAACCUAGAUAUUGAGAAUCAACACAGUUUUCACUUAAGGCCAGCCGUGAUGUAGAUGUUGUCUGCUAAGGUAAUUUGCCAACCUUUUGGGAACAGGAGAGAAACCAGGUUUCAGAUGGAAGGAAGCAUGUUGAGAGGACAUAAUAGGAAUGUUUGGAUUUGCCCGCAUCAUCUUCUAGAACUUAACAGAGGCUUCCCUGCAUUGUUGUCCUGGUUUAAAGAUACUGAGGUUGGUGGCUGCCUUUACUUCCUUCAGAACUUUGUCUAUUCCCCAUUACCAGGUCUACUUGUGCUACAUAAGUAUUUAUUUAAACUUUUUAUCUAUACUGUGGUAGUGAAGAUCUCUGGCUAAUGUAAAUGUAAAACUUUACAAACUGGGGUCGAGACCGUCAGUCCCCUAAUUACCAUCAUGUUUGCACGUGGCCAGCUUUGCCUUCCCCGGCUUGACCUUACGUGCUUUCUGGUUGCUGUGGGUCUGAGGGAAGAGCCAAUGAUUUUUAAGUUUAAGUCAAUAUCCUCUUCCCUGUUAAUUCCUCAGACCCCCCUUGCUUCUCUCCUUUUUCUUGCCUUCCUUGCUUUAAGUUCUAGAAUCACAGCUGGUGGUCUUGAUGGAAAAGGCUAUGUGUGGUUGGCCUACUUACUAUUAGGCAAGGCUUGACUUUGGGAAGAUAACAGUUGCUAGCUUCCCUUGCUUUUUCUAGCUUUGUAAUGCUCUUGUUUCUUGCUGGGGUGAUAAUGGCAAGUAAUAAUUCCUUAAAUAUGCGCUGCUCCAACUCAGAUCCAGGUCUGACCCAGACCUACCCCCACCCCCGAUUGAAGUCUGUUAGCUGGUGAUUAUU
rnacentral:lncRNA from 1 species